GACAGAGGUGCCAAGCGUUAAUCGGAAUUACUGGGCGUAAAGGGUGCGUAGGCGGUUCGUUAUGUCUGUCGUGAAAUCCCCGGGCUCAACCUGGGAAUGGCGAUGGAUACUGGCGAGCUAGAGUGUGUCAGAGGAUGGUGGAAUUCCCGGUGUAGCGGUGAAAUGCGUAGAGAUCGGGAGGAACAUCAGUGGCGAAGGCGGCCAUCUGGGACAACACUGACGCUGAAGCACGAAAGCGUGGGGAGCAAACAGG
rnacentral:rRNA from 1 species